UGCUUUUGUGACUUAGGGAUCGAUGCUACUCCCUUUAAGAUUGUUGCUUCCUGAUUUUUCUUACCAGGGGUUGUCAUCUAAAGUUGAUUUUUAUAGGAAUCAGGACCUGUUCUUUUUUCUUCACCAGGAACUGGUUCCUGAUUUGGCUGAUGAUCCUUUUCUUCCUCCAUGUUAUGUUCCUUCGGUUAAUUCCUAUACCACCAAAUAAUUCCUCUCCAUGGCUCAUGGUAUGGUUGUUGUGUUCGGCUGCACAGGGUUGUGAUUAGGUUUGCUGUCGUGUUCGUUCCUGCAGUCAUUGCUGGGGUUGGCGCUGCUCCUCCUUCGGAUUUGGUUGUUCCGUUCGUGUUCAUCUCCUUCUCAGGUUCAAGGAAUUGUCCUCAACGUCACUCAAUUGGGAAAGAUAAUGCAGAGGGGUUGGAAGUAAAUUGCAGUGUCUCUGAUAGCACCAACUGCCAUUUACGGAUCCAAGGCUCGUCGGCUGGGCAGUGCAAGGCGUAACUCCGACGUGGUUCCUCGCCGAUUGGACGGUGUUCAGGCGCAACCCGGUGCCCACUGAGUACUGCCUCGGCUACAACCUCCCUUGGUGAGCUCCAUCUUCCUCCUGCUCAUCUGCUUCGGCUACUGCAUUGGACAUGGCCGUGGCUAUAUUGAUGUGGUGCUCGUCUAGAAUCCUUUUUGAUCAUGUGAUACUUGUUGCUCUGUCCUUGGAUGGUCAUUCUUGUUGAGUGAUAACCAGGGCAGCUCCACUGUAUAAACAGAUUGAUCUGGUGAUAAGAGACGGGGGUAGGUUAUAUGAUCGAGGAAAGUCAGAUCUGAGCCCACUAUGCAAUGAACCCUGGAUCCUUUUUAUUUGUAUUUAAAGGUGUUGCUUAUUUAUGCUCCGGUGUUUAUAGUCGUCUUAUGUAAAGAUUUCUUCUCUCUCAUACCUUUAUUGCAUAUGAGUUGUUCUUGGUCUUUUAUUGUUUGUUGUUGGUCCUUGAUUUAAUCUGGUUAAGAGUAAGCUGCACUUUGUUAUACUAGAAAGACAUGCUCCCAGCAAGUUAUAGGGGCCUCUCUUGCUGCCUUAAGUUUGUAUGGUAAAGUAUGCAUCAUGUGUGCCUCUGUUUUCUUUCCCUCUUGUAUUCCUAUGUCUUGCUUCACAUAUCAUGGCACUUGAUAUAUGCAUGGUUGUUGGCGAUCGGACGCCACCACCGCCGCCGAUGCCAUCGUGGCUCUUGCCGCCGUCAAACAUUAAGCUUGAGUCUCAGUUUGAUCUUACGGUUCUACGGCUCAAAGGUUGAUGACUGCCAUGAGGCACUACCCAGUUAAAUCUUCGUCCAAGCUGACAACAAUCCUCUUGGUCUUAAAAAAUUUGUCGAGGCGGCACGGAUCAAAGAAUAACAGAUCUGGGUCUUCGCCUUCCAAGAUUAGAAGGGGGAAACCAUCGCUCACUGUCCAUAUGCUUUAAAAGCAAAUCUCAAGUGCAUUACCUAUACAAAAAUAAUUUUGUGGUCAUCUAUCUCACAAACUAUUCACAUCAAGUUUAUAUGGAAUGGCACUCACGGAGGCAAUUGAGCCAAGCUAUCUAUUGUAUGCCUAACUAUGGCCUCCAUUGCCAUUGUUGGCUUUUUCUCUCUUAUGUUUCUGCUCAUAUUACUGAACUGGCACGGGUUAACUUUGAUAGUCUCAUGCCCAUGUUUAACUUGAUGAUGUUACUCUUCUGGCACAUAUUGAAUGUUUCUUCUUACUCUUGAACCGGCCAGACAAUCGGUUGUUCUGUUA